UACGUAGGGCGCAAGCGUUGUCCGGAAUUAUUGGGCGUAAAGAGCUCGUAGGUGGCUUGUUGCGUCUGCCGUGAAAUCCCGUGGCUUAACUGCGGGUCUGCGGUGGAUACGGGCAGGCUAGAGGCUGGUAGGGGCAAGCGGAAUUCCUGGUGUAGCGGUGGAAUGCGCAGAUAUCAGGAGGAACACCGAUGGCGAAGGCAGAUCUCUGGGCCAUUACUGACGCUGAGGAGCGAAAGCGUGGGGAGCGAACAGG
rnacentral:rRNA from 1 species